ensembl:lncRNA
GAAACACUAAGCAUUCAGGAGGGUGCGUAACCAUAACACUGAACUAUGUUCCUGUUCGGCUCUUCCAUGAAGAUGUUACAUUUUUAAUUUUCGUUCUUUCUUCUUAGAUUAAGCUUCUGGAUUCAUCGCCGGUGAUACUGACACAUAGCCAGUGCUCCUGUGUGGCAGGCGCUGUUAUGUGCAAUCACACAGUGGCACUGCUCUUCCAAACAGCACACUACUCACAACUCAGAGUGCCCGUUGUCCCCCCUGUGCAUAGCUGCAUGGAAUCUGAACAGCAAUGGCACAAGCCACGGACAGUGGGUGUGAGGCCAGGACCCAUCAACUCCAUGAUCUUCACUAAGCCAGUACCAAAUAGGAUGGCCCAGACUGGAGUACGGAGUGGCUUCUACAGAGGCAUGGUGGGUCCGUUACCAGAUCCCUGCUUGUUCAGAAUAACGGAGGCAUAUGCAAAAUUUAAUAUUGAGGACAGGCCACUUGUGACCACAAUGAACAUGAGACCUGACAAGCCCCUUGUGGAAAGUGCCUUUGGGCUGGUGCAGGAGGGCAGUGUUCUGUCAUAUCAGCAGCCGGUUUUGACAACCCGGUACAUCACACUACACCGCGAUGCACCACCAACACCGCACUUGCCUCUGGAGGGGUAUGACAUCUUGCCAUCAGAUUGUGUGUUUGUGUGCUCAGAAGAAGAGCUUCUGCAUCUGAAAAGCUUGUCUGUAACUCUGGAAAUGGCUCACAAAAUAGAGGAAGCUACACGUGAGCAAAGCUCUUCGUCUGAGUGGCAUCAGCUCCGCAGGCCCAGAGUGACUGCCUCUAGGUUUCGGGAGGUGUGUCAC